GGCCUCGUGGCGGAACUGGUAGACGCAGUCGACUCAAAAUCGACCGGGCUUGCCCAUCUCGGUUCGACUCCGAGCGAGGCCACCA
rnacentral:tRNA from 1 species